rnacentral:rRNA from 1 species
GACGAACGCUGGCGGCGUGCCUAAUACAUGCAAGUUGAGCGCUGAAGGUUGGUCCUUGUACCAACUGGAUGAGCAGCGAACGGGUGAGUAACGCGUGGGGAAUCUGCCUUUGAGCGGGGGACAACAUUUGGAAACGAAUGCUAAUACCGCAUAAAAACUUUAAACACAAGUUUUAAGUUUGAAAGAUGCAAUUGCAUCACUCAAAGAUGAUCCCGCGUUGUAUUAGCUAGUUGGUGAGGUAAAGGCUCACCAAGGCGAUGAUACAUAGCCGACCUGAGAGGGUGGUCGGCCACAUUGGGACUGAGACACGGCCCAAACUCCUACGGGAGGCAGCAGUAGGGAAUCUUCGGCAAUGGACGAAAGUCUGACCGAGCAACGCCGCGUGAGUGAAGAAGGUUUUCGGAUCGUAAAACUCUGUUGGUAGAGAAGAACGUUGGUGAGAGUGGAAAGCUCAUCAAGUGACGGUAACUACCCAGAAAGGGACGGCUAACUACGUG